rnacentral:rRNA from 1 species
AGGAUGAACGCUGGCGGCGUGCCUAACACAUGCAAGUCGAACGCUCUCCAUUCGGUAGCAAUACCGAUGAAGAGGGAGUGGCGAACGGGUGAGUACCACGUGAGCAACCUGCCCCGAAGACUGGGACAACACCGGGAAACCGGUGCUAAUACCGGAUAUCCCUAUCGGACCGCAUGAUCUGAUAAGGAAAUGGAUUCCGCUUCGGGAGGGGCUCGCGGCCUAUCAGCUAGUUGGUGAGGUAAUAGCUCACCAAGGCAUCGACGGGU